UACGUAGGGCGCGAGCGUUGUCCGGAAUCAUUGGGCGUAAAGAGCUCGUAGGCGGCCGGUUGCGUCUGCUGUGAAAUCCCGGGGCUUAACCCCGGGCGUGCAGUGGAUACGGGCUGGCUGGAGGCAGGCAGGGGAGAAUGGAAUUCCCGGUGUAGCGGUGAAAUGCGCAGAUAUCGGGAGGAACACCAGUGGCGAAAGCGGCUUCCUGGUCCAGCACCGACGUCAGGCACGAAAGCGUGGGGAGCAAACAGG
rnacentral:rRNA from 1 species